CAAAACAAGAGAAAUCCCCUUCUCAACUCCGAAUUUUUUUGUGGUAGAACAACAAAGAUAAAAGUCUCUGCCACCGGCAGCAGAGUAACAAUUAUAAUACCAGAGAGCAAUGCCAAUGAGGAACGACAGACUUCUUUGUACGAAUGUAUGGAUUUCUCUUGGCGAAAUAUAAAGUUCAGGUCACAAAGAAACACCAUAGUUUAAGAUACAAGUAACAAUUAUUUUCGAAAACUCCCAACACCAUCAGGCUUCAAUACUUUGGCAGCUAGACCUCAAAUUCGUACUUGAUCCAAGCAGGAUUUCCCAUCCAGCUUGCUGCUUUGCUGAAGCUCCAAGUAUUCCCCAUACUUCAUUUCAAUAUACGCUGGCGCAUUCCCUUCUCGGUCUAGCAACUCUGGUGCAGGAGUAACGACUGAAUCUAGUGAAGGUCCAUGUGCCAUGACUAAGGAUAUUCUUGCAGCUUUCUUGUUCACAACCGCUCGAUGUUCAACGCUCUUGUACUUUCCAUUACUCAAAAUCUAUAGCAAAGAAAAUGAUGUUUCAACAGAGGCAAUGAGCAUAAUAUCUUUCAAGUUCUAAAAUAAGCAAGGCAGGAAAUGCUUGCACCUCAAGAUGAUCUCCUGUGUUAACCAGAAAGGAAUUGGGGUAGCCAUUCAUAUUGACCCACUUCCCUUUGUGUUGCACUUGAAGGCCACUAACUCCAUUCUGUAUUAGAAUGGUCAAGAGGCCAUGAUCCGAGUGAGAGGCCAGGCCCAUUGCAAGUUCUGGUUGUGUGCAAGGUGGGUAGUAGUUUGCUAUACUGACCUGCAGGCCUUGCUCCAAAUUCAUUGCUUUGUCUAUGUAAUUUGUUCCCAAUCCCAAGCUCUCUGAUAUCCCUUUUAGUAAUUCUCUUGCUACUUCUCUUACUCUUUUGGAGUAUUCUAACAGAUUCUCACUGAACCCAGCAGGUUUGCUGGGUGAGUGAAACACGGGAUGUACAAAGAGCUUGAGAAAAUCCCUCCAACAAAAGACCUUCUCCACUGAAGUAUUAAAGCUGGUGCCACACCGUAUUGGGUCUAAUACAUGCUUACCUUCAUACUCCUGCUUCUCCUCCUCCGGCAGAUCAAAAAAUUCUCUACAUGCAUCAAUCAUUGAUCUCAUUAGUCUCUCUGGUACUCCAUGAUUGAUCACCAUGAAG
rnacentral:misc_RNA from 1 species